rnacentral:rRNA from 1 species
CCUACGGGAGGCAGCAGUGGGGAAUAUUGCACAAUGGGGGAAACCCUGAUGCAGCGACGCAGCGUGAGUGAAGAAGUAUUUCGGUAUGUAAAGCUCUAUCAGCAGGGAAGAAGAAAGACGGUACCUGACUAAGAAGCCCCGGCUAACUACGUGCCAGCAGCCGCGGUAAUACGUAGGGGGCAAGCGUUAUCCGGAUUUACUGGGUGUAACGGGAGCGUAGACGGCUGUGCAAGUCUGAAGUGAAAGCCCAGGGCUCAACCCUGGGACUGCUUUGGAAACUGUGGAGCUAGAGUGCUGGAGAGGUAAGUGGAAUUCCUAGUGUAGCGGUGAAAUGCGUAGAUAUUAGGAGGAACACCAGUGGCGAAGGCGGCUUACUGGCACAUAACUGACGCUGAGGAGCGAAAGCGUGGGUAGCAAACAGGAUUAGAUACCCCGGUAGUC